rnacentral:rRNA from 1 species
GUAACCUGCCUUAUAGGUGGGGGAUAGCCUUUCGAAAGGAAGAUUAAUACCGCAUAAGAUUGUAGUAUCGCAUGAUAUAGCAAUUAAAGGAGCAAUCCGCUAUAAGAUGGACCCGCGUCGCAUUAGCUAGUUGGUGAGGUAAUGGCUCACCAAGGCGACGAUGCGUAGCCGACCUGAGAGGGUGAUCGGCCACAUUGGGACUGAGACACGGCCCAGACUCCUACGGGAGGCAGCAUG